rnacentral:rRNA from 1 species
CAGCCGUAAACUAUGCGCGUUAGGUGUACUGGUGACCACGAGUCACCGGGGUGCCGAAGGGAAACCGUGAAACGUGCCGCCUGGGAAGUACGGUCGCAAGGCUGAAACUUAAAGGAAUUGGCGGGGGAGGCACCACAACGGGUGGAGCCUGCGGUUUAAUUUGGACUCAACGCCGGAAAUACUCACCGGAUAGGACAGACAUAUGAUAGUCGGGCUGAAGACUCUACUUGAUGAUCUGAGAGGAGGUGCAUGGCGUCAGUGACU